rnacentral:lncRNA from 1 species
AUUUUAUAAUAAAAAGCGAGCAAAGUAAAGGAAUUUACCUCGACCGGAUAAACAAAUUAGUGGCCGCCGUGCUCUUUGGCAUGUUGCUGAUGCUCAAGGUGACGUCGCUCCUCAGGAAGGGCGACGAGGUAAGAGAAGAUCAUGCCACCAAAGCAGAUAUGAUAGAGAGGUGCGAUCGAGUCGGUCAGGAUGUAUUUGGCAUGGUAAUUAUCCAAUGAUCUCUGAAUAAAAUUUCUCGCGUUGCUCGUUGUCACCAUCGGCUUCACAUGCGCCGGCACGUCUUUCACUUUCAUUCCCUUGAUCUCGCUGAAAAACUUCCUCAUCGCCAUUUCCAGAUAGAGAGAGAGAGAGAGAAAGAUAGAUCGAAUCUGCGAAACCCUAACCCUUAGUUUGGUUGAUUGAAGAGAUAAUUGGGCGAGCGACUUUGUGGUACUAUUGACAAAUCCCCGUUUCCUUUUUU